AGAUGCUGAUGGUCCAGUGGACAGAGCUCUUGGUGUCAAAGCUAAACUUGAUGCAGGAGACCAGAGGAAUGUAGUCAAUGUAAAAUCUGACUCGUUUUGUCGAAACGACAGAACAGUUUUCCAUCCGCUCCACUAGGCGGCGAAAGCGAGUUUCAGGUUCAGUGUGAUCUCUGAUGUCUUCGUGUGCUUGGCUUGCAACAACCAACAACACGCGCAAGGUGCGACAGCCCAUAUUCCAGCCCAUAAACUAAUAAAACCGACACAAACUUCGAUGAAGUGAAGGAACCGAGUGUCACUCACUUGACUCAUCAGACACCCUGGUUCUUGCCUAAAAAGACGUGUUUAUGGCUGCUUAUAGCCUUACCCUGCAGUUGGUUCACCCUCCGCCUAUGGAUUCAGGAACCAAAGUAUUUGGUGAUGUGUGGAGAGUCUCUGUCACUGACCAGGUUUGAGCAGAUCGUGGGUGCCGAUGAGUACUUUGGGAACCAGGAGUCUAACUGACGAGAAUGUGUCUGCAUUAGCUUUGCCAACACGCUUGGACCAGAGCAGGCUUCGGUGAUGCUUUGACAUGCAGAAUUAGAGAUGUGUGAGGAGUGUUACACCCAGCCAACAGAAGCAUGUGGACAGACAAUGACUAGACUGAUGGAGAUCUGCUCAUGCACAGGUAAUGCUUAUAUCAUUUCAGUGUGUGUUGUUGGCUUGCAAAUGUGUAGGUUAUUAUCUUUUUUUUUUUUGGAAGGGUCACUAUAUUUAGUGAUCGACAUACGAUUUAAAUUAUCUUUAAAAAAUUGCAUAUAAUAUAAAUAAAUAUACCCGCCACACACACACAUAUAUAGCAAAGUUUUGCAUUGUUACUGAAUGCAACUUCUACUUUGACAAUGCCUGAAUGUGUUAUUUAAAUGACAUUUGUCUUAACAUGUAACUUAUAUUAAACCUUAAAUAAUACUCCUUUGGUAUCUAAUAUGAAGGACACAAUGGAUUGCUUUUGUAUGCUUGUUUU